AGUACUGUUAUCAAUUACAAAUGUACCACAGAAAGUGCAAUGAUUGAUGACCAGAUGGACAGACAGCUGGGCGGAGAUUUCUGUGGAAAGCAGGGUGGACGUUAUUUGUUGGGAGGAAAAGUGGGAGGAGAGAAGGGUGGACCUUAUUGGGUGUUUACAUGACAGAUCAACCCAAAGGCGGAGCACAGAGAUAGGGAAGAGCAUUCGAGAACUUUUGAGUGAACACAAUAGACCCUCCAGUGAUGGGAGCAGACGUACUGGAUGGGAGCAGACGUAAUCAGGCGUCUAGUCUAUCAACAGUUCAGGCAAUCUUUGGCCGAGUUUUCUUGGGGACAGACGGACACAGAACAGCACAAAAGGAAUUACAACAUAUGAAGGAGGGGAAGAUGGCCCAACCAGAUUCCACAGCUUGUCAUGAGAACAUGUUACACAGACGGAUGUUGUUCAAACAGUUUUCCUGAACAGCGAGUUCUACAAGGCAACAACUGCAACGUCACAAGAAAUUAAUAGUUGAACUUGGACGGCAAUCAGAUUGAUAGUAACCGUAUAUUUACAAUGCAACACAACCUAUCACCUCAACGAAACGG